rnacentral:rRNA from 1 species
AGAGUUUGAUCAUGGCUCAGAACGAACGCUGGCGGCGCGCUUAACACAUGCAAGUCGAACGAGAAGGCGUAGCAAUACGCUUGUACAGUGGCGAACGGGUGAGGAAUACAUGGGUAACCUACCCUCGAGUGGGGGAUAACCCGCCGAAAGGCGGGCUAAUACCGCGUAAGCUUCCGAUCUUGCGGGAUUGGAAGGAAAGCUGUCCCUUGGGGAUGGCGCUCAAGGAUGGGCUCAUGUCCUAUCAGCUUGUUGGUAGGGUAACGGCCUACCAAGGCAUCGACGGGUAGCUGGUCUGAGAGGACGAUCAGCCACACUGGCACUGCGACACGGGCCAGACUCCUACGGGAGGCAGCAGUGAGGAAUAUUGCGCAAUGGGCGAAAGCCUGACGCAGCGACGCCGCGUGGGGGAUGAAGGUCUUCGGAUUGUAAACCCCUUUCGGGAGGGAAGACGGCCUUAGACAACUAAGGCGGACGGUACCUCCAGAAGCAGCCACGGCUAACUUCGUGCCAGCAGCCGCGGUA